rnacentral:ncRNA from 2 species
GAGGCGCAUCGGGGGAGUCGGAAACGACUGAGAGGAGGCCGCAGGGCCUCGACCCCUUGAACCUGAUCCGGGUCAUGCCGGCGAAGGGAUGGUGCCCCCUGGAACCU